rnacentral:lncRNA from 1 species
UUACAUGUGCCUCCUUUCUAGAGGAUUUGACAAGACGAUGAAGAGGUCGGGCGAGUGAUCAACUAUUGUUGUUGUAGCAAAGGAGGGGUUGAGACGGCGUCAACUAGCGUCCUAUCGUCCCUUAUUUUUUUUAUUCUUGUCUUGUACUUUCAUGUGUCUUUCAUGCUUCGUUCCAAGUUAUUGAUUGUAGCCCUUCUCCCUCCUUUGAUUGGAUUAUUGAAUUGGCAA